UGUUAUUACUAAACUUGCUAUGAUGCUUUUUAAAAUACCUAACUCUAGAUCUUCUAUUCUAGACCAUUAAGUGAUUUAGUAUAGGCCCAUGAAGAGCAUUACAAGAAUCAUCUGAGAAAGUAUAUUUUUCCACUGAUAAAUGAUAUGUUUCAUGUAAAACAGAAAUAGGGACAAAAUAAGUAUAAUUGUUUUUCACCUAUGGAAAAAAAAACAAAAACAAGUUUAUGUGUUCCUGAAUUAUAACCUCUGCAAGGAAUUAUAACCAGUGAUCUAUAUUUGUUCUCUGUUCAAGUUGACAUACAUGUAUUUUAAAGGAUAUGAACUUUUUCCUGAUGAGUUUUGGUGAUGGCAGUAAGAGAUAAAACCAAUAAAAAGAGUCACAUACUUACAUCUGUCAAGCCGUGACCCUGGCUCCCACCUCUAACAGAGGCGCCCCACUGUACAAAGAAGAGCAAAGAGCAGAACAAUAUCUACCUGCAGCAACUGCCAUUCUAAGAUGUCAACUCAGUGUAUGAUUUGCAGAUGUCGAGGUCACCAAAAAGACAUGACUCACAUAGGCCCUGGAUGGAAUGAUGUUUU